CAGCCGCCGCGGUAAUACGAGGGGGGCAAGCGUUGUUCGGAAUUAUUGGGCGUAAAGGGCGCGUAGGCGGUUUGACAAGUCUGAUGUGAAAUCUCUGGGCUCAACCCAGAGUCUGCGUCGGAAACUGUCGAGCUUGAGUAUGGGAGAGGUGAGUGGAAUUUCCGGUGUAGCGGUGAAAUGCGUAGAUAUCGGAAGGAACACCUGUGGCGAAAGCGGCUCACUGGACCAUUACUGACGCUGAGGCGCGAAAGCUAGGGGAGCAAACAGGAUUAGAUACCCCGGUAGUCCCUGUCUCUUAUAC
rnacentral:rRNA from 1 species